AGAAUGAUUUUCUUUUCUCUUACAGUAGGAAAGGUUUACUUGUUCACAUAGUUUAGGGGCAUCAGAGCCUGCGAUGAGGUGGAACAUCAUGGCAUGAAGCAAAAAACUACUCGCCACAUCACAGACAGAAAGCAGUGUUAGAGAGAGACAGACAAAAAUACAACUUCAGGGUGUAUCCUCCAACCAAUCCCACUUCCUCAAGUGUCUACCAUCUUCCAACAGGGUUACUAGCUAGGGGACAAGUUUUAAUUAAAGGAGUCUUUGUGAAUAUCCAGAUCCAAAAUAUUCUGGAAGUUCUUUUGGACCCUACCUGAAUCCUGAUCAGCUACUACCAACUUCCUUGGUGCCCUGUUAGUCCUGGAGCCGACUUUCAGGGUUGUUUGAACAGGGCUGCUCAGCUCAGCAGCUUAUCGAAGUUCACAGUUCCAGGUGCUGGAAUCUGAGAUGCAGCUGCAGUAGACACUCCCUGCAGAAACCUGGGCAUGUAUGAGUUGGAGGUGAACCCGUUCUGGUGGAGUGGAGCUGGCUCACUUACGUCUGUCUCCCCAUGGUCAGAGCCUCCUAGGAACCUUCCAAUCUUGGAGAGCUACACUUUACAAGAGAGCAGCCAUUGCAUAACACCUCAGAAGCAAGCAGGAUCCUGCAGAUAAAGCUGAAAGAGAAGAAUGGACCACACCUUGUGGAGGGAGAUGGCUCUGAGCCUGCCCGAGACAGAUGCAUUCGGGGAAUUCCCAUGACUCAGGGCUUGGGGAAUAUAGACAGCAAAUCAUGUUUAAAUGCAACUUUAAUAAAUAAGUGAU